CAACAGGGAUUGCCUCAGUAACGGCGAGUGAAGCGGCAACAGCUCAAAUUUGAAAUCUGGCUCCUUCGGGGUCCGAGUUGUAAUUUGCAGAGGAUGCGUCGGGUACGGGUCCCUACCGAGUUCCCUGGAACGGGACGCCAUAGAGGGUGAGAGCCCCGUCUGGUAGGAUACCCAGCCCAUGUGACGCUCCCUCGACGAGUCGAGUAGUUUGGGAAUGCUGCUCUAACGGGAGGUAUACUCCUUCCAAAGCUAAAUACCGGCUGGAGACCGAUAGCGCACAAGUAGAGUGAUCGAAAGAUGAAAAGCACUUUGAAAAGAGAGUCAAACAGCACGUGAAAUUGUUAAAAGGGAAGCACUCGCUACCAGACUUGGGUUUGGCGGUUCAACCGGGGCCACGCCCCGGGGCAUUCCGCCAGCUCAGGCCAGCAUCAGCUUUCCGUCGGGGGCAAAGACGUCGGGAAUGUGGCUCCCCCUCGGGGGAGUGUUAUAGCCCGGCGUGUCAUACCCUUCGGGGGGCUGAGGUACGCGCUUCUGCAAGGAUGCUGGCGUAAUGGUAGCUAGUGACCCGUCUUGAAACACGGACCAAGGAGUCAACCUUAUGUGCGAGUGCCCGGGCGUAAAACCCCAGCGCGGAAUGAAAGUGAACGUAGGUGAGAGCUUCGGCGCAUCACCGACCGAUCCUGAUGUCCUCGGACGGAUUUGAGUGAGAGCAUAUAGGGUUGGACCCGAAAGAAGAUGAACUAUGCGUGUGUAGGGUGAAGCCAGAGGAAACUCUGGUGGAGGCUCGCAGCGGUUCUGACGUGCAAAUCGAUCGUCAAA
rnacentral:rRNA from 1 species